GUACUUAAUUCACCACAUUCUUAAAGUGACUAAUACUCGAGUGCUAUUCCCUGCAUCUCGCCCUUGAAAAUUUCUACGGAUUUGCUAGAAAAACCGGCCGUUGCCCACCCAAUUUGAGGGAAUUCAGUAAUUAAUUAAGUACAACUUCCAGUUUUAUUUUAUUUUGAUGUUUAGAGGACGCAUAGUUUACCAAGGUCGCGAAGUAACCUCAGCAAUGGCGACAAGUGCUUCUGUGCUUGGUAAUCUUUCUCGCUUAUUUAUCGACUUGCAGUUGGUUAUUUCAAACAUAUUAAAUUUGCCAAAUAUAAAAAUAUCUGAUAUUCGACUCACAAAAAGUAGGGGCUUUCUGAUAAUUGAAGUUAUUGAUCAUCAAGUUGUGAUUUUUUCUACACCAGUUCUUUUUCAAUUUGUUCAUUGUGCUCCUUUGGGGAUAUGUUAUCUGCUACAGAAUAAAGGUUAAGAUUAUCUCUUACCUCUUGAGGUUCGACUAAUGAUUUCAUCAGUUGGCCAUGAGGAAAUAGUUAGCGGUUGUUCAUCACAAGUUGGACUCUGGUCUCUGUUUGUUUGUUGGGGAUUUCUUUUAAUUAUAUUUUCUUCUUCUUUUUGGUAUAUAUCAAGAUGUGCAUUCUUAACGUUUUAUAUAAAAGGGUCAUUAGUUUUCCAUUUUUCCUCCUUUAAGUAAUGAAUUGGUCGGAAGGGAAUCAUAACAAGCAUGUAAAUGAAAUUGCUUUCACUAUACUUAGUGUUGGCAUCAGAAAGCUUGAUAAAGCUUGGAGUAUUAAAAAUGGUUCUCCGAUGUUACGCAAUCCAGAACCAUUAUUUCUUGCAGAUACAAGAAAAGAAGUACAAGAUAGGCAAACGAAAUACAUGAGUAUUCAAUAAGAAGUCAUCCUUCUUUAUUUUCUUGCAGAUGCUCUUUGUUUUCCUCCUGUCUUUUAAUUGAUGCUGUCCACAGAAAGGAAAAGAAAAAGCGGAAAAAGAUUUUAAGUCAGAAAAGAAAUUUUUUAAUAGUGAAUUAAACUUUUGUCUAAAUGCAUAAAAAGAGUAACUUACAUAUCACAGUUAACAGUUCUGGAGACAGGGGUAUCCAUAGUGACACCACACUUGGUGGGAAGAGCUUGAGCUGCAUCGUCUUUAAGGUUCGCGUACCUAUUAGCAGCAGCCUUGACACAAUUGCAAGCUGUCCUUUUGUCAGCUGUGGUUUGAGCCAAUUCUUUUAGGCUUUUCACCCCACUGCAGCAAGCUGAACUUGGAUCACCGCCCUGAGUAAGGUAAGGGAUACAUGGUGCUAAAGAAGCGUCCACUUGACCACAGGUAAGAGCUUGUCCUGGCUCAAACAUGAGCUGAAUCAUGGCCAACACUGCAAUGGCAAUGAUGAUUCCCUUCAUCUUUUCUUCAGUUUUUGUGUAAGAAAAAAGAUAGUUUUAAGGUGGAAAGUGAGGCAGGUGUUUUUCUCUGGAUUCUUGAUUAGCCGUGUUGAUGACUAGCCAGUGUCUUAGGAGGGUAUAUAUAGGAAUAUGAAAAGUGCUAAGAAAAGUAAGUUGUUCUUUGCUGUGGUAAUAUCAGUUAUCUCUUUUCGGAUUUUUGUUUCCUUGUUAUGUCAUUUCCUGAUUUGUUUCAGAAGAAAGGAACAAAUAGUCUUACAUGUUAUGAUAGUUCUUUGCAGGUAUUGAUGAUGCUCACCUUUCUCUACUAGUGGUGCUUAGGGAUAAAAGAACUCAACAAACCUUAUCUCUUUUGCAUCAGAAAACCACUUUCUUUCUUUUGCAGCCUUAAUUGGCCAUCUGCGAAAUACAUAUCUCUGUUUUGUGUGCCAGUAUGACAAAAAGGUAAACCAUGCAUGCUGUUUAGUAUAACUUACAAAUUGAUGUAUCGAUUUAUUCCCUAUAUUAUUUACUGAUUGCAUCAAGUAGCUAUUUUGAUCAUCAUUUCCUUGUAAGCUUUUGGAUUAGAUGAACUCAAACUCAUUUUUAUGCAUUUGAGUCUUAAUUUAGUUAGCUUGGAUCAGACUUCAAAGCGAACCAACGUAUUCGUGGAAUAUAUCCUCGAGCUUCAUUAAUUUGUGCAUCACUUUGCUGGUUUUCUUAGCAUAUCAUUUGUAAAGGAACAAGAAAGCCCCCAAAAUGAUUUGUACAAGAAUAUAAAUGUUUUUUUCCCUAGCAGAUGAUCACACUUCGAUGCAUGAGUAGAACAUUUAGCAGAGAACAUUGGAGCAGAAUUUAAGAUAAUGAACAUUCGAGCAGAAUUAAGACAUCUAAUGAUAAAAACGACUAAAUGAUUAUUUGAUCAGCGAUUGUUCUGAUUCAAGGGGUCAGCAUGGGAACUAUUACCCCCUCGCUACACGCCGGUUGAAUCAAAAGAAUAUUACUCCCUAAACAAAAUGACAAAGAAUGAGAAAAAUUAGUCCCUUUCAAACAAAUUCUCCCAUACAACUUACAACCAUUUAGCUAUUCAACUUGGAAAUUAUGGAAGUGAUGAGAACUGAUGCAAGAGAGAUGGUGUUUCAGUGCCACUGACAAAAUGAACAUGGAUAAUUGUCAUCCCUCUUUGUGAAUGAUAAUGUUUCUUUUCCUACUUUAAGCAAAACCAAUCCCACUUGUACAAACAGAUUGAGAAAGAGAGCUGAAUAAAUGGGUAUUUUUUCGAAACUCAUCUGGUGCUCUUUGUGCUUUGACUAGUACUACAUUGUUCCCUUAGUUUAGAACAAGCAGUGCAAGUUUGCGGUUAUCUCACUAUAGGUCCUAAGAGUGGGGGGGGGGGGUGUUAUUUAUUUUCCUAUCUUCUUUUGUCAACGUGUUUAUUCAAACUCAACAAACUUAUAUAUGCAAGUUCAGUCAAUAUUUCUUUACCCUCAGGAGUUGGUCGACUUGGACUAAAGUCUGAGCCAAAUGAGUAAACUCUGCCUUGUGUGCUAAUAUCUCUGCAUUAUGUUGCUAGGUGUGAAUUACAUGAGGAUAUCCAUAAGAGAGAAAAAUUCAAGAAUUUGAUUAUCACUCUAGGAUGAGGGGAAAAAAGAGAUCUUGAUGAUCACGCACACUGGCAUUAGGACUUGACUACAAUUGCUUUGGCAUCACUAGCAAAAUUCAGAUUUUCAGAAAUAAGUAUCCAUUAUUACUAUUAAUCCUGAAGAGAAACUCGUAAAGAUACCUAGUAAUUAAAUAUAUGAUGCCAAUGUCAUCUUAAUACAUUUUAUAUCAUCAAAAUCUAAUAGAUGUUAAAUAAUAGAAUCUACUGCUGGCAUAUACUGGUAAUCUGCACUAAUGUGUUUGAGUUCUUGGAUUCGUUCUAGGGGAAAUUCAUGGGGCUAAGAUAAUCCAAUCAUCUGAUGAUAUAUCAGUUUAUUUAACUAGGUGAUUGUUAAGUAUCGUGCUACAGAUAAACCUUAAUUGAAAUCGAAUUGAAAUAAUGUUUCUUUUUCAUCCUUUACCAGUGAUGAAUUUUAUGUCCUUUUAUACUUAUCCCCAAGAAUUCUAAAAAGAGGCACAAGUAGUGUUCUCACAAGAAUUCAUUUCAUCAUUAAUACUUGUCACUGCAGCUUGCAAAUCCCUGGGAAAGGGAAGGGGAACAGAGAGUAAUUUAUGAAUGAUAUAAUGUUGCAUCCCUACUACUUUCGUACUGUUAGUUUUCUCAGAAAAGAUGGAUGAUGUAAAAGGAAAACGGAAUACGGAGCCAGGCCUAUUAUAGAAGCUAUGAAUCAUGGUGAUCCAAGAAAAUGAAUGGUCCAACUGAAAGAUGGUCCUGUCCAUAGGAUCCUGACAGUUCAGCUUUGGAAGCAAAAUACAAGUUAGCAUAGGAGGAAUAAAUAGGAGUUAUCUUGAUAAGAAUAUGGAGUGUAAGCUUAGUCUUUUUGCCACCCCUUCCAUUAAAAAAGGCACUUAAGGUUCUGUAGAUCCACUUUGACUGAUAUUCCUAGCAUUGUACUCUUGAUGAUAUUUAGCACCAGAAUUAUAGAGGAAAGAAGUUGCUAAAGUUAAAGGUAUAUUCCAUAAAUUGAACAGCGCUCUGUUGUUAUUUGGACAAAAUUGCAACUGAUCUGGAGCUUUUUCUUUUUCUCCUUUUAACCAAAGUUAAUGGACUAUCUUGUUCUCAAAUUUCUGCAAAUGGAGUAUGAUUGUUACUAGCUUAACUAGGAGGAAGAAAUCCAUUCUGGCUUGAACAAUUUUAUGCUAUUUGAUUGCAUGUACCAGAGUUCAUGUUCCAAUUUUACUAAAUUUAACAUUAGAUUGUGCUUCCUUUUAGGGAUGAAUACUUCAGAGGAUGAGGGACAUAGUAAAUGAUCAAUCUUUUGAAAGAGGAUGAAGCCAAAAUAAACUAUCAAAGUGUCCAUGUCACAGUUCAAUAAUCUUGGGAAAUUGCAGAAACAAUUUAUGCUCGGUAAAGCUUUGAUCAUUACAAGCAGUUCUCUCAUCACUUGGACUAUUAUUUGAAAAAAGAUAGAACAAAAUAUGAAGUUGGUGAGUCUUCCUUUCUUUAUUCCUUCCACACUGUCAUCAUCAAUGAUCUUAAUCUCAGUUGAUCCUGCAAAUGGAUGAUAAUAAUAUAACCAGUAAGAACUCAAAAGUGCAUGUAGUUGAAGAAUUACACGAAAAGUGAAAAUCAUCUUGAAAACCAGAAAAUAAAUCUUACAUGUCACAGUUGACGCUCUUAGAGACAGUAAUGUCCAGUGUUACACCACACUUGUUAGGGAGAGCCUGGGCAGCAUCUUCCUUCAAGUUUGCAUACCGGUUUGCAGCAGCCUUGACACAAUUACAUGCGGCCCUCUUGUCAGCAGUGUUUUGAGCCAUACCUUUCAAUGCCGUCACACCAAUACAGCAAGCUGCACUUGGAUCACCACCCUGAGUAAGGUAAGGGAUACAUGGUGCUAAAGAAGCAUCCACUUGACCACAAGUAAGAGCCUGUCCUGGCUCAACCAUGAACUGAAUCAUGGCCAACACUGCAAUUGCUGAAAUGAUGAUUCCCUUCAUAUUCGCUUUCUGUUGAAAACUUGAAGUUCUUGGAUUACUAGUUUUCUUUUCUUGGUUCUCCCUGUGGACUGGUAUAGUUGAAGGCAUAGAAGGGGAUAUAUAUAGUAUUCUCAAGAUGGCUAAUAAAAGAAAGGUCAGUUAAUGGCUUAUGUAAAAUCUGUUACACGAUUUUGGCCUUUUCCCUUUCUUAUGUCAUGGAUAAUCAAUUAGAAGAUGAAAGUGAUGGGGUCAAAACUGUUUUCCUUGCAGCUGUGAUGUUUCCUGCAGUUGUUGUACUGUGUUCUGGGCAUGUAUAUGAACUGAAGAAUCUUAUCCUCAUUGAUUGCAGAAAAUUACACUUCCAGGCAUUUCCUUAUUUUAAAAAAUGUUAGGUUGAUAUUACUAAAAUGCAUCUGUCCUCCAAAAUUUGACAAUAGUUAAGAUACCUAUUUCAAAUUGCCAGUCUCAACAGCUAGACAUAAGGGAUGUUGUCCUAACUCUGUACAGCAGUUGAAAGUAACAUGGCCUGGAUAUGGUGUAAUGUAAUAAUGAUUACUGAUUAUGAUGAUCUUACUGAACAACUCUAAUAUGUUAUUUAUCUGCGGGGAGGGGACUAUCUAAUAAGGAAUCUGAGCAUCAGUGGCGGAGGCAGGAUCACCGCUAAGGGGGUUCAAAAAGAAAAAAGUUAAAAAAGAUUGUAGCUAGUAGGAAUUGAACCUAUGACCUUACAAAGGUUUUGAACCCGCUUGACCACUAAGCUACACUUUUGAGCUAUGUCACGGGGAUAUAUAUAGAGGUAAAAAACAGAUUUUGCCUUAUAUAUACAGUGUAAUUCGGCCCCCUUCUGCCCCUGCUGAGCAUCUAACCCAAAACCUUAAGGCAAUAGGGUGGAGCAGCCCAGGUCCUUUUAAACCACUUUGGAAACUAUUACAACAACCGAGAGGAUAGGUGUAACAUUCUCUAAUGUCUGAGUAGUACAAGGAGGUGCUGUUAGAGCUCCUCUCACCCUUUCUUAUUGUUAUUCUUUCUUCUUUUUUUUCCUGAGAUUUUCCCAGUUCAAACAUUUUGGUAUAGUUUUGAGCUCCUUUACAAAAUUGCUAUAUUUGGCCUUCUUGUAAUGUGGAUUUCUCUUUGAAGCUUUGUAUUUCCAAGUCAACUUUGUGGACAUGCGAAAACAUGCUAGAAUAACUUAGUCUUUAUCAUUUCCAUUACAAAUGUGCUAGUCAUCUAACUUCGACGGAUCCAUGUUGUGCAAAGAGAGUUCAAUUGAAUUCGCUAAGUAAAAAAAAACUACUCUUUGCAUAGAUUAUGUUUAGAAAUACAAAUAUGUGAAAUAUAUAAUUUGACAUUAGGGCGGUGUCUGUAGAGAUGCUCUGGCAGGUUCAAGGUUUACUUUCAGGUUUCUUGUCAAAUUCUUUUAUAUAAAUAUAGUUUUGAGGAGGAAAUCAUUUUAACCUUUGUGGAUUAGAUAGUUUGAUAUUGAAAUAAUAAAAUUAUUUAGGAAACUUAGCAUUUGACUUUGUUUAGUUUAUUAUUAGGUUGAAACUGGAGUUCCUUAUGGUUAGAGCCAGUAAGCAUUACAAAUUAGUGAUGAGAACGAAAAAAUUAGUAAUGUUUAUAUAAUAAAUUAUUAAUUCGUGAAAUAGUGCGAUUUUAGAAAGAAAUUGUUGUGAGAUCAUUUAUCAUGACUGAUACCUCAUUCUGUCCUUUUCCUCCUCUACAUUUAAUUGACGUUUAUGAGAAAAUAAGUGGAGGACUAAAGCAGUUGCAUCUGAGGUUAGCUGUUAGCUCGGUGAUGUUUUUGUGAUUAAGGAAGACUUUUAUAUUAGUUUGGAAUUUCCAUUUCUUUUACAUGUCAAUCAUAUAUAUGUUUCCAGUGGCAUUUGUCUAUUUCUGAGUGAUAUAGACGAAUUCCGGAACACCUUAUCUUCUUUAGUUGCAGUUUGUCUGGCUGAGAGCCUUAGACUGCUUUGUCUACAAGUACAAUGGACAAAUUUAAAGGAUGAGUAUAGUGUCAAGCCAAAUCUUGGUUAUGGAAAAACAAUAUACUGUAUGAUUUAACUAACUGCAUUAGAUGAGAUUUGCAGUAACUGCUGAUAGAUUUUGAUCAAAUUCAAGAAUGCAUCACUUGGCAAGUUGGCAAAUAUACAUUCUUUAGCAACUGAUCUUACUUGGAAUAUAUUGGAUUGGGUGGUCUUUAAAGACAGGAGCUUCUUGCAACUUAAAAGUUGAUCAAAUGAUGUUUCCUUGAUGUGCCAAAUAGGAUUGGAGAGCAGUUCGUAAAUUCUUUAAGUUGGUUUAGUCGUUUUUUUGCUCAUUAAUGUCUUGAAUCCCAACCUUUAUGACCCACAAGAGAAAGAAGGCUAACGCAUUGGCAUUGAACUGGAUGUUUCUCAUAGCAAGUUACCUGCCUUAUUUUUCAGGUUAAUAAUCCUAUUUAUUAUGGACUGUCACCUGUAGUUAUUUUUAUACUGUAAGUGUAUAGAAGUUAAACUUAAGGCAUUGAACUAGAUGCCUGUCGAUAUCGCAGAACAACUUUUGUCUUUCCAAAGUUAUAUAUGUAGUUCAUACAGCCGUGUAUGCUUUUAUUGACUCUGCAGUAUGAAAUGCGCAUUGGCAUAAUUGUCCAGAGAGGACAAAAGAGAGUAUUGUAUUGUAUUAUUAUAAUAUCUCAAAGAUUCUUAUACAUCAAAAUAAGUAGAUAAGGUAAAACUUGGUUCCAUGUAUUUCUGGUAUGAUCAGCCUGGCACAUUUCUGGCUGCAAUGAAUCACUUCAGUUGAUUCUGCAAAAAGAAACAAGUCAGAAUGUGCAAUAACACUAAUUGAGAUGUAUAAUCAUAUGAUAAUAAGCUUACAUGUCACAGUUGAUAGUACGAGAGACGGGAAUAUCCAUUGUAACACCACAUUUGCUAGGGAGAGCCUGAGCAGCAUCAUCCUUCAGAUUUGCAUAUCGGUUGGCAGCAGCCUUGACACAAUUGCAGGCUGUCCUUCUAUCAGCUAUAGAUUGAGCCAUAACUUUCAAGUCUUUCACUCCGUUACAACACGCAGUUCCAGGUUCGCCACCCUGAGUAAGGUAAGGGACACAAGGUGCUAAAGAAGCAUCCACUUGACCACAGGUAAGAGCCUGUCCUGGCUCAACCAUGAGCUGAAUCAUGACUAACACUGUAAUCACUGAAAUGAUGAUACCCUUCAUCUUUCUUGUGUGUGGAAUAUUUCAAGGUUAGGCUUGUUUGCUUCUUUAGCUCCUUUGUUGUUUUUGGGAUGUUAGAAGGAAAGCACAGAGGGUGUAUUUAUUGUAGUAGUUAUGAUUGCUUCACUGUUUUGAGUGGUUUCUUGCUUAAGUAAGAUCUGUUAUUCUAUUUUGGCUCCUUUUGUUUGUUUUGCUUUUUUCAAUGCAUUUCUGCCACAC
rnacentral:lncRNA from 1 species